AAAUUAAUUGAGUUAUCUUUCCUAAAUAAAUAUCUACAUAAAAUAAAUAUACGGUCAAAAAAACCAAAAAAUCUAUUUUGUCCGAAGAAAAAUAUCUUCAACAAACAAACCAUCAAAAAAUGGUUGUCACAAAAACAAAUAUAUUCAAAAAUGGUAAAGAUAAAAUCUAAUUGGUCAACUAUAUCAGACGGUGAAGAAUAAGUCAGCAAUCGUAGAAAACUGGAUCCAAAGUUGAGCUUUCAGGACCGAUUCGUAACGACUGUUAUUUAUGGUUGUAGAGGUUUUGGGAGUUACGACUUUGACUGUAAAAGCUUUGACUGCAGAGACUUUGUUUUUAAAGACUUUAACUGUUAAAACAUGAUUGGUAACAAUAAAAUUGUAACUAUAUAA
rnacentral:sRNA from 1 species